UACAGAGGUCUCAAGCGUUGUUCGGAUUCAUUGGGCGUAAAGGGUGCGUAGGUGGCGCGCUAAGUCAGGUGUGAAAUCUCGGAGCUUAACUCCGAAACUGCAUUCGAUACUGCCGUGCUUGAGGACUGGAGAGGAGACUGGAAUUUACGGUGUAGCGGUGGAAUGCGUAGAUAUCGUAAGGAAGACCAGUGGCGAAGGCGGGUCUCUGGACAGUUCCUGACGCUGAGGCACGAAGGCCAGGGGAGCAAACGGG
rnacentral:rRNA from 1 species